rnacentral:rRNA from 1 species
AUUGAACGCUGGCGGCAGGCCUAACACAUGCAAGUCGAGCGGAUGAAGGGAGCUUGCUCCUGGAUUCAGCGGCGGACGGGUGAGUAAUGCCUAGGAAUCUGCCUGGUAGUGGGGGAUAACGUCCGGAAACGGGCGCUAAUACCGCAUACGUCCUGAGGGUGAAAGUGGGGGAUCUUCGGACCUCACGCUAUCAGAUGAGCCUAGGUCGGAUUAGCUAGUUGGUGGGGUAAAGGCCCACCAAGGCGACGAUCCGUAACUGGUCUGAGAGGAUGAUCAGUCACACUGGAACUGAGACACGGUCCAGACUCCUACGGGAGGCAGCAGUGGGGAAUAUUGGACAAUGGGCGAAAGCCUGAUCCAGCCAUGCCGCGUGUGUGAAGAAGGUCUUCGGAUUGUAAAGCACUUUAAGUUGGGAGGAAGGGCAGUAAGUUAAUACCUUGCUGUUUUGACGUUACCAACAUAAUAAGCACCGGCUAACUUCGUG